rnacentral:rRNA from 1 species
AUUGAACGCUGGCGGCAUGCCUUACACAUGCAAGUCGAACGGCAGCACGGGAGCAAUCCUGGUGGCGAGUGGCGAACGGGUGAGUAAAGUAUCGGAACGUGCCCAGUCGUGGGGGAUAACGUAGCGAAAGUUACGCUAAUACCGCAUACGAUCUAUGGAUGAAAGCGGGGGAUCGCAAGACCUCGCGCGAUUGGAGCGGCCGAAAUCAGAUUAGGUAGUUGGUGGGGUAAAGGCUCACCAAGCCGACGAUCUGUAGCUGGUCUGAGAGGACGACCAGCCACACUGGGACUGGGACACGGCCCAGACUCCUACGGGAGGCAGCAGUGGGGAAUUUUGGACAAUGGGCGAAAGCCUGAUCCAGCCAUGCCGCGUGCAGGAUGAAGGCCUUCGGGUUGUAAACUGCUUUUGUACGGAACGAAAAGGUUUGGGCUAAUAAGCUGAGCUCAUGACGGUACCGUAAGAAUAAGCACCGGCUAACUACGUGCCAGCCGCCGUAAAAC